rnacentral:rRNA from 1 species
UUCAGAGGAACCUGUUCUAUAAUUGAUAAUCCACGAUUUAAAUUACUUAUUUUAUUAAUUUACAUAUCGUCGUAGAUUGAAUAUUUUUAUAGAAUUUUAAUAUUCAACAUUUUUUAUGAAAAAAUAUAUCAGAUCAAGGUGUAGUUUAUAAAUAAGAAGAAAUGGGUUACAAUAAAAAUAUUUAUAUGGAUAAUUAAUUUAAAAUUGAUUUGAAAGAGGAUUUGAAAGUAAUUUUAAUUUAUUUAUUAAAAUGAUUUUAGCUCUAAAAUAUGCACAUAUCGCCCGUCAUUUUCACUAUAAAGUGAAACAAGUCGUAACAUAGUAGGUGUACUGGAAAGUGUACCUAGAAAGACAAAUUAGAGCUUGAUAUAAAGCAUUUUAUUUACAUUAAAAAGUUUACUGUGAAAUUCAGUAUAAUUUGAGUUUAAAGUAUUAUUUAAUUUAAUUUUUAUUAAUUAUUUAAAGAAAAUAUUUUAUUGUUUAAUUAAAAUAAAGAAAAAAUUUAUUUUAUAAUAGUGAAUUAGUAUUGUAAAAGAAUUAUUUUAAAUUUUAUUCAAACCGGUGUGAGCCAGGUUGGUUUCUAUCUCAAAUUAGUUAAUAUAUUUUAGUACGAAAGGACCAAAUAUAUAUUUAAUAAAUUUUAUUAUGAAUAAUUUUAAUAUGUUAUUUUGGCAGAAUAGUGCGAUAGAUUUAGAAUCUAUAUAUGUAAUUUUUUACAAAUAAUACUUGAUUUUUAAAGAUUUAAUAAUAAUAAUAAUUUCUAGAAUUAUUUUAGUUUUAUGUGUUAUAAUUGGCGUAGCAUUUUUGACUUUACUGGAGCGUAAGGUGUUAGGAUAUAUUCAAAUUC